UGAGGGAUAGGUAAAUCCGCCCUCGUACAUCAAGUUAGGGUGCUGACUCUUCGGAGGUAAUCAUCAGCGGGACGUCCAAGAAAAGCUUCUAAAGGUUGAAGCAACUGUAACCGUACUAAAACUGACACAGGUAGGCGAGAUGAGAAUUCUAAGGCGCUCGGGAGAACGGUGGUUAAGGAACUCUGCAAAAUGGCCCCGUAAGUUCGCGAUAAGGGGUGCCCCU
rnacentral:rRNA from 1 species